CUCAGCUGCCACAUGUGGCUAGCAGCUACUGUGCUGGGCAGUGCAGCUCUCCAAGGGGGCCAUCCUCACUCACAGACGUCACGCAUGUGCAUCAGUGUGGUAUUUUAUGAGGAGAUGUGAGCCGACUUUAUAUUGAACAAUUUCUAAUGGAGGCAAAAUCCACUUAACACAAAACUUACCAUUCAAAAGUGAACCAAUGGCAUGUAGUAUAUCCACAAUGGUGCACAACCAUCACCUUUAUCUAGUUUCAAAACACUUUCAUUACCUCACAAAGAAGCCCUGUGCCAAUUAUCAGUCACUCCCCAUUUGCUCUAACCCUUCCUCUAAAUUGUUCCCUCAACCCCACCAAGCCACUGGCAACUACUAAUGAUUCUGCCUCUACAGAUUUGCCGGUUCUGGACAUUUCACACAAAUGGAAUAAUACAGUUAUCUGUUUGUUUUUGUCUGGCUUAUUUCACUUGGCAUAAUGUCCUCCUCAAUGUUCAUCUAUGUUGUAGCAUGAAUCAGAACUCCAUUCCUUUUUAAGGUUGAAUAAUAUUCCACUGUAUGGAUAAACCACAUUUUGUUUCAUCAACUGAUGGACAUUUCAGGUGCCCCCACUUUUUGGCUGUUGUGAAUAAUGCUGCUAUGAACAUUGAUGUACAUACAUCUGUUUGAGUCCCUGUUUUCAAUUCUUCUGUAUAUUUACCCAGAAGUGCUGGGUCAUAUGGUAAUUCUACAGUUAACUUUUUGAGGAACUACCAUACUAUUUUCGAAAGCAGCUGCACCACUUUACCUUCCCACCAGCGGCAUACAAUGGCUCCAGUUUCUCCAUACCCUCACCAACACUUGUUAUCUUCUGUUGUGUGUGUGUGUGUGUGUGUGUGUGUGUGUGUGUGUGUUUAAUUACAGCCAUCCCACAGGUGUGGCUAGCACCACUGGUCCUUUGUCCUGACCAUAUACACACAGGCCUGCCUCCUCUGCCUUCCAGACCUGCUCCAGUCAAGUUUCCAUCUGUCAUCACUGUAACCAAGUGGGCUGCCCUCCAUGCUGGGGCAGCAAACAGGACCUGAGGUGUUGUCUAUAAAGGUUCUUGUAAAGGCUCUGGAAGAGGAAGGUCUCAGUUGCAAAAUUUUAA
rnacentral:lncRNA from 1 species